GACGAACGCUGGCGGCGUGCUUAACACAUGCAAGUCGAACGGUAAGGCUCCAGCUUGCUGGGGUACACGAGUGGCGAACGGGUGAGUAACACGUGGGUGACCUGCCCUGCACUUCGGGAUAAGCCUGGGAAACUGGGUCUAAUACCGGAUAGGACCGCACCGUGAGGGUGUGGUGGAAAGUUUUUUCGGUGUGGGAUGGGCCCGCGGCCUAUCAGCUUGUUGGUGGGGUAAUGGCCUACCAAGGCGGCGACGGGUAGCCGGCCUGAGAGGGUGGACGGCCACAUUGGGACUGAGACACGGCCCAGACUCCUACGGGAGGCAGCAGUGGGGAAUAUUGCACAAUGGGCGGAAGCCUGAUGCAGCGACGCCGCGUGGGGGAUGACGGCCUUCGGGUUGUAAACUCCUUUCACCAUCGACGAAGGGUUUCUGACGGUAGAUGGAGAAGAAGCACCGGCUAACUACGUGCCAGCAGCCGCGGUAAUACGUAGGGUGCGAGCGUUGUCCGGAAUUACUGGGCGUAAAGAGCUCGUAGGUGGUUUGUCGCGUCGUCUGUGAAAUUCCGGGGCUUAACUCCGGGCGUGCAGGCGAUACGGGCAUAACUUGAGUACUGUAGGGGAGACUGGAAUUCCUGGUGUAGCGGUGAAAUGCGCAGAUAUCGGGAGGAACACCGGUGGCGAAGGCGGGUCUCUGGGCAGUAACUGACGCUGAGGAGCGAAAGCAUGGGGAGCGAACAGGAUUAGAUACCCUGGUAGUCCAUGCCGUAAACGGUGGGCGCUAGGUGUGGGUUUCCUUCCACGGGAUCCGUGCCGUAGCUAACGCAUUAAGCGCCCCGCCUGGGGAGUACGGCCGCAAGGCUAAAACUCAAAGGAAUUGACGGGGGCCCGCACAAGCGGCGGAGCAUGUGGAUUAAUUCGAUGCAACGCGAAGAACCUUACCUGGGCUUGACAUAUACAGGAUCGCGCCAGAGAUGGUGUUUCCCUUGUGGCUUGUAUACAGGUGGUGCAUGGUUGUCGUCAGCUCGUGUCGUGAGAUGUUGGGUUAAGUCCCGCAACGAGCGCAACCCUUGUCUUAUGUUGCCAGCACGUUGUGGUGGGGACUCGUAAGAAACUGCCGGGGUUAACUCGGAGGAAGGUGGGGAUGACGUCAAAUCAUCAUGCCCCUUAUGUCCAGGGCUUCACACAUGCUACAAUGGUCGGUACAGUGGGUUGCCAGUCCGUGAGGGCGAGCUAAUCCCGCAAAGCCGGUCUCAGUUCGGAUCGGGGUCUGCAACUCGACCCCGUGAAGUCGGAGUCGCUAGUAAUCGCAGAUCAGCAACGCUGCGGUGAAUACGUUCCCGGGCCU
rnacentral:rRNA from 1 species